UUCUGCAGUUUCGAAUGUGAAAAUAAAGAGAGCUAUCCGUCGACAGUAGGGAUAUGAUUCACUGUCAUGGAAUUGCUCUCUUUAUGUACAAUUCGAUAUUCAACAGU
rnacentral:pre_miRNA from 1 species